UGAGAGGUAGUUUAAUAAGAAUGUGAGAUUGUCAAUUUCAUGGUGUCAUGUUAAGACUCUCUUAG
rnacentral:tRNA from 1 species